rnacentral:rRNA from 1 species
UACGAAGGUGGCAAGCGUUGUUCGGAUUUACUGGGCGUACAGGGAGCGUAGGCGGUUGGAUAAGCCCUCCGUGAAAUCUCCAGGCUUAACCUGGAAAGUGCAGAGGGGACUGUUCAGCUAGAGGAUGGGAGAGGAGCGCGGAAUUCCCGGUGUAGCGGUGAAAUGCGUAGAGAUCGGGAGGAAGGCCGGUGGCGAAGGCGGCGACCUGGACGGACAUUGACGCUGAGACGCGAAAGCGUGGGGAGCAAACAGG